rnacentral:sRNA from 1 species
UAAUGGAAAACAAUGUCCGAAGAUAUAAUUUCCCCCCCCCCCCGUAAUAUAGCAAAGAUCACGAAAAGGCCCGAAAAAGUACAUUAAGUUCAAAAUUUGGAGUAGAAAAAAAAACAAUAGAAGAAUUCCAUUUUCCUUCCUCAGUCAUCGGAGAGCUCUCUUUGGGCUUUCCGAAAAGGUAUCACAUGCCAAGCUUGGCCUCACGGUCUAAAGGUUAUAGAGUCAUACAUUUUUAACAAAAAAAAAAUAGAAAAACAGAAAAAAGAGGGAUGCAAUACGAGGACUUUCCAGGAGGUCACCCAUCCUAGUACAACUCUCGCCGAAGCACGCUUAACUACGGUGUUCAGAUGGAAUCUGGUGCAUUAGUGCUGGUAUGAUGUCAUUUGUUACUACAUGCAAUGCAAUCAUAUCUAUUCUUAUUUAAAGACUUUAUGAUCCAUUUGCCGUGGGUCCCACCUGUAGGAAUACCCUAUCUUGUUUAUAAAAGAUUUGAUACAUGCAAAAUACUCGAAAACAAUGUCCGAACAUAUAAUUUUCACCCCGUAAUAUAGCAAAGAUCACGAAAAGGCCCGAAAAAGUACAUUAAAGUCAAAAUUUGGAGUAGAAAAAAACCC